UACGUAGGGGGCUAGCGUUGUCCGGAAUCAUUGGGCGUAAAGAGCGCGUAGGCGGCCAGAUAAGUCCGGUGUGAAAGUCAAAGGCUCAACCUUUGAAUGCCGCUGGAAACUGUCUGGCUAGAGUCCGGGAGGGGCGAGUGGAAUUCCUGGUGUAGCGGUGAAAUGCGCAGAUAUCAGGAGGAACACCAAUGGCGAAGGCAGCUCGCUGGAACGGUACUGACGCUGGAGGCGACGAAAGCGUGGGGAGCGAACAGG
rnacentral:rRNA from 1 species